rnacentral:rRNA from 1 species
UUAUAACGUAAAAUUAUUUACUGAAUUAUUAUAAGUUAUUGUCUUUAAAUUUAAAAAAUUUGGCGGUAUUUUAAUCUAUUUAGAGGAACUUGUCUUAUAAUUGAUAGUCCACGAUUUGGUAUACUUAUAUUAAUUAGUUUAUAUAUCGUCGUAAUAAGAAUAUUUUUAUAGAAUUUAAUAUUCAAUAAUUUAAAUUUAAAUUAAAAUCAGAUCAUGAUAUAGUUUAUAUAUAAGAAAAUGAUGAGUUACAAUAAAUUUAUUUAAAUGAAUUAGUAAUUUUAAAUUAUUAUGAAAGUGGAUUUAAUAGUAAUUUUAUUGAAUUAUUUAAAAUGAUUGAGCUCUAAAAUAUGC